UGGGGGGGUCUCAGCAUUGGGGACCCCAAAGGUGGGGAUGGGGGGACCCUAAUGGUGGGGUAUGGGGGGAUCCCAGUAUUGGGGACCCCAAAGGUGGGGAUGGGGGGGACCCCAAUAGUGGGGUAUGGGGGGAUCCCAGUAUCAGGGACCUUAAUGGUGGGGUAUGGGGGGACCCCAGUAUUGGGGACCCUAAGGGUGGGGAUGGGGGGGUCCCAGUAUUGGGGACCCCAAUGGUGGGGAUGGGGGGACCCUAAUAGUGGGGUAUGGGGGGUCUCAGCAUUGGGGACCCUAAAGGUGGGGAUGGGGGGACCUCAGUAUUGGGGACUCCAAUGAGUGGGGAUGGGGGGACCCCAAUAGUGGGGUAUGGGGGGACUCCAGUAUUGGGGACCCAAAAGGUGGGGAUGGGGGGGACCCCAGUAUUGGGGGACCCUAAAGGUGGGGAUGGGGGGGGGGUCUCAGUAUUGGGGACCCCAAUGAGUGGGGAUGGGGGGACCCUAAUAGUGGGGUAUGGGGGGACCCCAGUAUUGGGGACCCCAAAAGUGGGGAUGGGGGGGACCCCAUUAUCAGGGACCCCAAUGGGUGGGGAUGGGGGGGUCUCAGCAUUGGGGACCCCAAAGGUGGGGUAUGGGGGGACCCUAAUAGUGGGGUAUGGGGGGGUCUCAGUAUUGGGGACCCCAAUGGAUGGGGAUGGGGGGACCCCAAUAGUGGGGUAUGGGGGGGGUCUCAGUAUCAGGGACCCCAAUGGUGGGGCUGGGGGGGUCCCCAUCCCCAUGGCCCCCAUAGUGCCCCCCCCACCUGUGUAGCGAAUAUGGCCCGUUUCAUCAUGGUGAAAUCCUCCCUGUCCAACAUCUUGUUCAUGUCGGGGAGGUUCCCCCUGUAAUUGAGGGGGGGUCCCAUUAAAGGCUGCCCCAUAAGUGCCCCCNUCUCUAUGGGGCAGGGCUUGCUAUGGGGCAGGGCUCUCUAUGGGUCAGGGUCUCUAUGGGGCAGGGCUCUCUGUGGGGCAGGGCUCUCUGUGGGGCAGGGCUCUCUGUGGGGCAGGGCUCUCUAUGGGGCAGGGCUUGCUAUGGGGCAGGGCUCGCUGUGGGGCAGGGCUCACUAUGGGGCAGGUCUCUCUAUGGGUAAGGUCUCUCUAUGGGGCAGGUUUUGCUGUGGGUCAGGUCUCUCUAUGGGGCAGGUUUUGCUGUGGGUCAGGUCUCUCUAUGGGGCUGGGUCUCUAAGGGGCAGGUCUCUCUAUGGGGCAGUGCUCUCUAUGGGGCAGGUUUUGCAAUGGGUCAGGGCUCUCUAUGGGUCAGGUCUCUCUAUGGGGCAGGUCUCUCUACGGGGCAGGGUCUCUAAGGGGAAGGUCUCUCUAUGGGGCAGGGCUCUCUAUGGGGCAGGUUUUGCUAUGGGGCAGGGCUCUCUAUGGGUCAGGUCUCUCUACGGGGCAGGGUCUCUAUGGGGCUGGCUCUCUAUGGGGCAGGUCUCUCUAUGGGUCAGGUCUCUCUAUGGGUCAGGGUCUCUAUGGGUCAGGGCUCGCUAUGGGUCAGGUCUCUCUAUGGGGCAGGGCUCUCUAUGGGUCAGGAUCUCUAUGGAUCAGGUCUCUCUGUGGGUCAGGUCUCUAUGGGGCUGGGUCUCUAUGGAUCAGGUCUGUCUAUGGGGCAGGUUUUGCUGUGGGUCAGGUCUCUCUAUGGGUCAGGGUUUUGCUGUGGGUCAGGUCUCUCUAUGGGGCAGGUUUCGCUAUGGGUCAGGUCUGUCUAUGGGUCAGGGUUUUGCAGUGGGUCAGGUUUUGCUGUGGGUCAGGUCUGUCCAUGGGGCAGGUUUUGCUAUGGGUCAGGUCUCUCUAUGGGGCAGGUUUUGCUAUGGGGCAGGUCUCUCUAUGGGGCAGGUCUCUCUAUGGGUCAGGUCUCUCUACAGGGCAGGUCUCUCUAUGGGUCAGGGUUUCGCUAUGGGUCAGGUCUCGCUAUGGGGCAGGUUUUGCUGUGGGUCAGGUCUCUCUAUGGGGCAGGGUCUCUAUGGGGCUGGCUCUCUAUGGGGCUGGGUCUCUAUGGGGCAGGGCUCUCUAUGGGUCAGGUCUCUCUAUGGGUCAGGUCUCUAUGGGGCAGGGCUCUCUAUGGGUCAGGUCUCUAUGGGGCAGGUUUUGCUAUGGGGCAGGGCUCUCUGUGGGGCAGGGCUCGCUAUGGGUCAGGUCUCUCUAUGGGUCAGGUCUCUAUGGGGCAGGUUUUGCUAUGGGGCAGGGCUCGCUAUGGGUCAGGUCUCUCUAUGGGUCAGGUCUCUAUGGGGCAGGGCUCUCUAUGGGGCAGGCUCUCUAUGGGUCAGGUCUCUCUAUGGGUCAGGUCUCUCUAUGGGUCAGGUCUCUCUAUGGGGCAGGGUUUUGCUGUGGGUCAGGUCUCUCUAUGGGUCAGGGUUUCGCUAUGGGUCAGGGCUCGCUAUGGGUCAGGUCUGUCUAUGGGGCAGCCCCACCUGGUUGGUUGCCUGCAGCAGCUCCUGGGCCUUGGCCCUGCUGGCCAGGUUGGCCUCCUCCAUCUUGAACAGCAGCGCCGUCACUGCAACCACAUACAGACCCCAAAUCACAGCGACCCCAUACCCCAAAACCCCAUAACCCCCACCCCAUAACCCUACUAUACCCCAUAACCCCACCCCAUAUCCCCUAUAGCCCCCAUAUAACCAAUAUACCCACCCCAUAGCUCCCCAU
ensembl:lncRNA